rnacentral:rRNA from 1 species
CAGCACCUCAAGUGGUCAGGAUGAUUAUUGGGCCUAAAGCAUCCGUAGCCGGCUCUGUAAGUUUUCGGUUAAAUCUGUACGCUCAACGUACAGGCUGCCGGGAAUACUGCAGCGCUAGGGAGUGGGAGAGGUAGACGGUACUCGGUAGGAAGGGGUAAAAUCCUUUGAUCUAUUGAUGACCACCUGUGGCGAAGGCGGUCUACCAGAACACGUCCGACGGUGAGGGAUGAAAGCUGGGGGAGCGAACCGGAUUAGAUACCCGAGUAGUCC